GACAGAGGGGGCAAGCGUUGUCCGGACUGACUGGGCGUAAAGCGCCCGCAGGUGGUCCGGCAAGUGAGGUGUGAAAGCGGCUCGCUUAACGAGCUGAGGCCAUCUCAGACUGCCGGACUGGAGCCGUGCAGAGGCCCGUGGAAUUGCCGGUGUAGUGGUGAAAUGCGUAGAGAUCGGGCAGGGAACACCCUAGGGGGGAAACCAGCGGG
rnacentral:rRNA from 1 species